rnacentral:rRNA from 1 species
UACGUAGGGUGCGAGCGUUUGUCCGGAAUUAUUGGGCGUAAAGAGCUCGUAGGCGGUCUGUCGCGUCGGAUGUGAAAACCCAGGGCUCAACCCUGGGCCUGCAUUCGAUACGGGCAGACUAGAGUUCGGUAGGGGAGACUGGAAUUCCUGGUGUAGCGGUGAAAUGCGUAGAUAUCUGGAGGAACACCGGUGGCGAAGGCGGCAUCCUGGACCGGCAUUGACGCUGAGGCGCGAAAGCCAGGGGAGCAAAGCGGG